AACAUUAUGGUUUGGCUCAAAAUAAGUAUGUAAACUAAGUAAAACAAGUACAGAAACAAUGUUACAUAACUACAGAAAACACGUCACAAAC